UUACUCCUCAAAUUGCCACAUGACCUGAAGGGGGAAAUGGCCACAUCAGCUUCUGUGGGACAGCUUUCAUGGAUCUGAAUUUGGAUUCCUAAAUAUGAAACCUUCUCACUGGGUUGCUCGCUGUCACCUCAAACUCAUCACUGAAGCCAGGCUUCCUCUCACCAUCAUGAGAAGCUCACCAAACAGAUUCAGACAACAAGACUCUGCUGUUGGCUUGGUAAAAAUCGCAUGCUUUCUUACUUUAAAUAUUUACUUUCCUUGUUUUUUUAUAAAAUUAAAUUGAAAAUUUGUAUUUUCUCAUCUACUACUGGUUUUCUGCAAUUAUAUUUAGAUCUAACCAUGUAUUUAUAAGUCCUUGAUUUCUGUGCAUAAAUUUCCUCCUUCACAAACUUAUAAAUCAUUCUUUGCAUUAGGGAUUACUUAAGAAGCCUAGUAUCCAGUUUUCAUAUUCUCAACGUUCCCAAGGAUUCUAUUUAACACAAUGUUCAAUGGUAGUCUUGAUAGAAGUUAGUUUGGAUUUUCCUUAAAUAUGCUGAUAUCUGGAGGCAUUUAGUAUGUAUAAGUCUGGUAUUUUCAGUUCAGUUUUUGGAAUAUCAUCUGAGUAACUAAUAUUUGAGUAUUCUUUGAAUAGAUUACUGCAGAGUAUGUGCCACUAAAAGACAAAUUCUUUCUAUGGUAGCAUGCACUAAUUGCCUGUAGCUUUCUGGUCAUAGAUGGUGCCAUCCAAAAUGGCAUGUCAACAUCUGGUAAUAUUUUGCUAAUCUUCUUUAUAUAAGUGUGUUUUUGAGAUUUCAAGGUUGCAGCAUCCAUAUGCUGUGGAGAAAACACCUUGAAUUCAGAAGACACCUGUUCCUCUGGAUCUCAUACUCUGUCUGGUAUUCUUCUGAAAGGUACUCUGAGUCUUGCCUAAAUUGUUAAUUUUCAGAUUUAUCAGUUUGUGUUUGAAUUUUAACUGUGUUUUCAGUGUCUAUUCUUAUACUCACAGACAAUUUUUGCUACAAUAUCAGCAAAUAAGCUUCAUUUGGCAGUAGAAAGAAACCAUUAGAAAAUUCUACAACUGCGCAAAUGCAAAGAACAACUAACAGCUAAGUGUCCAACACCAACUGAGAAAUUUUGUUCUGUUAUGCUCAGAAAUUUAGACAGACUGUUUCACAGUUAGUAGUUUUAUAGGCAGAGUACCAAGAUAAGACCCCCAAAUAACCUGUGAUCUCUGUGAGCCCCCAUUAUUACCAUCCAAUGGAUUCGGUUGGACAUGCUCAUGUAGUGCCACUGAUGCCUCUGGUUACUACAACCCUUCCAUCCCCUGUUCUACAUCACCAAGCUCUUUCUAAUGUUUGAAGAUGCAUUCUGCCCCUGCUAUUUUAGAAAACUGGCCAAAUUUGGUUCUUUUCCAUAAUCAAUAACCACCAUAGUCAUGGGUAGUUAUUUGGCUAGAUUUGCAGUAAUAUGCAUAAAUUCUAUUCUUAUUCUUGAUCAGAGUAUAAAUCUCAACUAUUCACCAGAGAUGUCAUAAAUAUUCAGGUGUGUCUUUGUGACACAAGUCAUGCAUAUAAUAAGCACUAAGAUUUUGGAAAUGAUGACAGUUAAGAAAUUUGGGAAAAAUAAUGACUCACUUUUUACAAAGUUUCUGUCUGUUAACAAAUCACCUGAUUAAAAGAAUUCCAUAUAACGUAUUAGUUGUUCAUAGUACUGUCAGUAUUAAAAACUAGGUUUCACAGUACUGAAUUCUAAAGGAAGACACUCUUCUCUCAAUGAAAUAACUGUAUGGAUUUAAACUGAUUUGCUAUUCCAAUAACAGUGGGAUUUUACAUACAUACAUACAUACAUACAUACAUACAUACAUACAUACAUACACACACACACACACACACACAUACAUACAUACAUACAUACAUACAUACACACACACACAUACAUACAUACAUACAUACAUACAUACAUGCAUACAUACGACCUAAAUACUUAAAAUGUUCACCAGAAUCAAACCACAUUCUUCUGAUAGUCCUUCUAAAGAUAUACAAAUCUAGUGAAAAAAUAGUAUCAGAAGAAGGCAUGUGAAAAAAGCAGUGUGUCUAAAAACAGAAGAAAAUUAAUUGAAUUUAGUCAUUGAGCACAUAAUUUUUGUUAAUAGGUCACAUAUAAUAACCUUAUUUUAUCUAAAUAGAUAAGUUUCAGUUUAUUAGGUAUUUUAUUAUGUUAAUGUAUACAUCUUAAUCUUAAUUCAUCUUCAUCAUCAAAUGGCUGCAAUCUGAAAUUAUUUCAUGAGUUUUAUUUUAGCAUUGUUAGAAGAAUUUCACUGUAUCUUUACUUAUUUAUGAACAGUCUGUGUUAAGUUUAAUUCUGAAAUAUAUAUGCAUAGGACUUUUAUAUUUGUAAUUUAAAAUGUGCAUAGUUUAUGUUCAUUCCAGUGCUGUCCUUUAAUUGCUGUCCUGUACUUCUGAAACAGAGACUCACUGUGCUGCUCACCACCAUCUCAGACACAUCUCUUCCCUUCAGCAUCAUGAGAAGUUGUAUGUCAGCUAUCACCAUGAGAAGUUCCAUCUCAGAUGUCAACCUCCACACUCAACUGAUGGUAUUGUAAAACCACCUAUUUUCUGACUUUCAUGGUUCAUAUUUAAGCACCACUGUAAAUAAUUCAAUUUUCAUCUCAUGGAGGUGAUCAUAAUUAAUAUAAAGUAGUUGAUAACUCCCAUAAUAUUUAUACCACUGUUGCAAAAGUAUAUCUUCAGGACUACACAUUACUGUAUGUUGUUGGAUUUGUAGCUCUUCAUAUUGAGGCUUUUUAUUCCUCCAUUAACAAGCAGCUUAACUUACAGCACUAUCAAAUACGGUGAGUAACAUCGAAGCUUCUAUUUGGCAAGCAAGUGGAUCUCUCCCCUGUGAUGGCGCAAGUAAGUAGUAACUUCAGCAAUAGGAACUUACAAUCACAUUGUGCAGAUUUAACCACAUAUUUGAAAUGAUCUGUGAUGCUUGAGUAGGGGACUAUAGUGAUGCCCACGAGCAAAAUUUCAACCUAAUUUGAUGGUACCUGAGAUAGCCUUGAUAAAUUUCUUGGUAUAAUAUGGGUAUUUAUGGCAUUAUCUCUCCAAAUACAAUUGGACUCCAUUUCAAUUAUUUUUGUAAGUGUAUAUACAUAUAUAUUUUUUCUGUAAGCCAAUUUGAUUUAGUAGACAAGUUCAUACAUGAAUAUUAUCUUUACACUAUUUUCACAUUUCCUUCUCCUAUCUCCUGCACAUAAUAUAUCUGCUCCACCAAUAAUCAAAAUUAUUAGUACCUCUUAAUGAAUAUUAUUCUUUCUUACAUAUACAAUUGGAUAGGUCUCUAAUCUGUGCUGUGUCCAUUAUGUGCUGUGUCAUAGAUAGCCCAUCAAUGGUCUUGACACAGAAGAAGACUUAUUCUCCCUCUCCUAGCAUACAACAUUGGCAUGUAGCUUAAAGUGUGGGAUGUUGACUAAUUUUCCUGUCUGUGUUGGCAUAACAACUUGAAGUGUAAUUGCAUCAAACUUUUUUGAUGCUUUGGAAAUCUACAUGAAUCUUCCCUGUCCUUUUAGAAGAGACUUUUGUCAGUGCAGAUGUGAUCUUAUGAUCAUAUGGUGUGUCUGCCAAAUGUAGGAUAUAUUUUCUGAGUCUAUGUAUAAUGAUUUGUGUGAAUGCAAUAAUUGUGUUGUAUACAUUAUUGUCAGUUCUUGUUUGCAGUUUCAGCAGUUGUGUGAUGGUGCUGUAAAAUGUAGAAUUUUGCUGAUGGUGACAGUUAACUUGUCAGUGGGCAUAAGGAUAGAUAUUUGGAACAGAGUUAGAAAUUAUGCAAUUUCAUGAAAAUAGGAGAUGAAGUUUCUCCUUCUGGGUUCAUGAUCUCACCUGCCAUGUGUAGCAGGUUAGAAUUUCUGUAUUGGGUACAAUUUAUCUCCCUGAAAAUGAUAUAGCUCUGCAUUACUUACAAAAGAUAAAUUUGUGGUGAUACAAUUUUUAUGACUUAUUUAAGCCACUGGAGAUCAACAUAACAAAGUAGCUACACUUUUUACUAUAGAAGCUAGGCAGUGGUGCUAUAAAUCUUUAAUCCAUGGAGUUAGGAUAAAGAGGCAGACAGAUCUCUGUUAGUUCAAGGCCACACUGUCUAUAUGAAAUUUAUAUAUAACUAAAACAAACAGCUUACAUAAAGGUGAUCUCAGCACCUGGGAUCACAUGUCUUUAUUCCCAUCAUGAAGGGAGGUUGAAACAGGAGUGAUAUGGCUGGGUGGAGAAAGGAAUAUAAAGAGGAGUCAGGAUUUGAGAGCUUUUUGCCUAUGAGGAUUCAGGAAAUAGGAUUGCCUUUUCUGUAGGGUAAAAUCUUCUGGCUUGGCUUCUUUGCUUCUCUGAUCAUCAGCUUGGAGCUUGAACCCCAGUAUCUGUCUGGGUCUUUUAUCUAUCUUGUUACAUACAAUGAGAAAUUCAGGCAUGGCUUUGAGAACCAAGCCACUAAUAUGCUAAUAAAUGCUAAGUUUUGUUAAACA
rnacentral:lncRNA from 1 species